CCUACGGGAGGCAGCAGUGGGGAAUAUUGCGCAAUGGGCGAAAGCCUGACGCAGCGACGCCGCGUGAGGGAUGAAGGUCUUCGGAUCGUAAACCUCUGUCAGCAGGGAAGAACGGUCACUGUGCUAAUCAGCAGUGAAUUGACGGUACCUGCAAAGGAAGCACCGGCUAACUCCGUGCCAGCAGCCGCGGUAAGACGGAGGGUGCGAGCGUUAAUCGGAAUUACUGGGCGUAAAGCGCUCGUAGGCGGUAUGUCAAGUAAAGGGUGAAAUCCCCGCGCUCAACGUGGGAACUGCCUUUGAAACUGGCAGACUGGAGUGUGUGAGAGGAUAGUGGAAUUCCAGGUGUAGGAGUGAAAUCCGUAGAUAUCUGGAGGAACAUCAGUGGCGAAGGCGACUAUCUGGCACAUAACUGACGCUGAGGAGCGAAAGCGUGGGUAGCAAACAGGAUUAGAUACCCUGGUAGUC
rnacentral:rRNA from 1 species